CCUACGGGAGGCAGCAGUAGGGAAUAUUGCGCAAUGGACGAGAGUCUGACGCAGCAACGCCGCGUGGGUGAUGAAGCUCCUUGGAGUGUAAAACCCUGUUAGAGGGGAAGAAACGCCAGAGUAGUAACUGACUCUGGCCUGACGGUACCCUCAGAGAAAGCACCGGCUAACUCCGUG
rnacentral:rRNA from 1 species